GACGAACGCUGGCGGCGUGCUUAACACAUGCAAGUCGAACGGAAAGGCCUCUUUCGGGGGGUACUCGAGUGGCGAACGGGUGAGUAACACUUGAGUAACUUGCCCUUGACUUGGGGAUAACUUCAGGAAACUGGGGCUAAUACCGGAUAGGAGCUCCUGCUGCAUGGUGGGGGUUGGAAAGUUUCGGCGGUUGGGGAUGGACUCGCGGCUUAUCAGCUUGUUGGUGGGGUAGUGGCUUACCAAGGCUUUGACGGGUAGCCGGCCUGAGAGGGUGACCGGCCACAUUGGGACUGAGAUACGGCCCAGACGCCGACGGGAGGCAGCAGUGGGGAAUAUUGCACAAUGGGUGGAAGCCUGAUGCAGCAACGCCGUGUGCGGGAUGACGGCCUUCGGGUUGUAAACCGCUUUCGCUCAUGACGAAGCUUUGUGUGACGGUAGUGGGUAAAGAAGCACCGGCUAACUACGUG
rnacentral:rRNA from 1 species